AGGUUCCUACAAGAGCGUAAAUCUACUGACAAUUGUUUUAACGUUAGUUUUCUAUUCUAAAAAAUUCUUCUAUUCUGCUCCAACCAAAGAGCCCACCAGGCAGAAACAAUGGUCAACAAACGAAGCGACCGUCUCUAGAGCAAGUGGUAAAGGGCUUGGUGGUUGGUACUCGAGACCCAAGUUCGAAUCCUAGUUGAUUCACAUUUCUAGCUAAAUUUAUUUCUAAAUGAAAUAAACGAAACAUGUAGUGUGCUACCUAUCUCUCAAAAAAAUAAUUCUCUUCUCCCUAUUUUGCCCCACUUU
rnacentral:lncRNA from 1 species